GACAGAGGGUGCAAACGUUGUUCGGAAUUACUGGGCGUAAAGCGUGUGUAGGCGGCUACAUAAGUCGGAUGUGAAAGCCCCGGGCUCAACCCGGGAAGUGCACUCGAUACUGCGUAGCUUGAGUCUCGGAGAGGUUGGUGGAAUUCCCGGUGUAGCGGUGAAAUGCGCAGAUAUCGGGAGGAACACCCGUAGCGAAGGCGGCACUCUGGGCCGGAACUGACGCUGAGGAGCGAAAGCGUGGGGAGCAAACAGG
rnacentral:rRNA from 1 species